CGCCCUUAGAGUUUGAUCAUGGCUCAGGAUGAACGCUGGCGGCGUGCCUAAUACAUGCAAGUCGAGCGAAGAGAAGCUUGCUUCUCUUAGCGGCGGACGGGUGAGUAACACGUGGAUAACCUACCUAUAAGACUGGGAUAACUUCGGGAAACCGGAGCUAAUACCGGAUAAUAUUUUGACCGCAUGGUUCAAAAGGAAAGACGUCUUUGUCACUUAUAGAUGGAUCCGCGCUGCAUUAGCUAGUUGGUAAGGUAACGGCUUACCAAGGCAACGAUGCAUAGCCGACCUGAGAGGGUGAUCGGCCACACUGGAACUGAGACACGGUCCAGACUCCUACGGGAGGCAGCAGUAGGGAAUCUUCCGCAAUGGGCGAAAGCCUGACGGAGCAACGCCGCGUGAGUGAUGAAGGUCUUCGGAUCGUAAAACUCUGUUAUUAGGGAAGAACAUAUGUGUAGUAAUGCACAUCUUGACGGUACCUAAUCAGAAAGCCACGGCUAACUACGUGCCAGCAGCCGCGGUAAUACGUAGGUGGCAAGCGUUAUCCGGAAUUAUUGGGCGUAAAGCGCGCGUAGGCGGUUUUUUAAGUCUGAUGUGAAAGCCCACGGCUCAACCGUGGAGGGUCAUUGGAAACUGGAAAACUUGAGUGCAGAAGAGGAAAGUGGAAUUCCAUGUGUAGCGGUGAAAUGCGCAGAGAUAUGGAGGAACACCAGUG
rnacentral:rRNA from 1 species